UGCCGGUGUCGUUCCUGCCUUCGUGAAC
rnacentral:sRNA from 1 species